GAUGAACGCUAGCGGCAGGCUUAAUACAUGCAAGUCGAGGGGCAGCACGGUUAGCAAUAACUGGUGGCGACCGGCGCACGGGUGCGUAACACGUAUACAAUCUACCUUAAACAGGGGGAUAGCCUUUCGAAAGAGAGAUUAAUACCCCGUAAUAAAUUGAACGGCAUCGUUUGAUUUUGAAAGCUCCGGCGGUUUGAGAUGAGUAUGCGUCUGAUUAGCUAGUUGGUGAGGUAACGGCUCACCAAGGCGACGAUCAGUAGGGGAUCUGAGAGGACUAACCCCCACACUGGUACUGAGACACGGACCAGACUCCUACGGGAGGCAGCAGUAAGGAAUAUUGGUCAAUGGAGGCAACUCUGAACCAGCCAUGCCGCGUUCAGGAUGACGGCCCUAUGGGUUGUAAACUGCUUUUAUACAAGAGAAAACCCUGGUACGUGUACCAGGUUGAUAGUAUUGUAAGAAUAAGCAUCGGCUAACUUCGUGCCAGCCGCCGCCGUAACAC
rnacentral:rRNA from 1 species